rnacentral:rRNA from 1 species
GCAACGGAGGGUGCAGCGUUAUCGGAUUACUGGGCGUAAAGCGCACGCAGGCGGUUUGUUAAGUCAGAUGUGAAAUCCCCGGGCUCAACCUGGGAACUGCAUUUGAAACUGGCAAGCUAGAGUCUCGUAGAGGGGGGUAGAAUUCCAGGUGUAGCGGUGAAAUGCGUAGAGAUCUGGAGGAAUACCGGUGGCGAAGGCGGCCCCCUGGACGAAGACUGACGCUCAGGUGCGAAAGCGUGGGGAGCAAACAGGAUUAGAUACCCUGGUAGUCCACGCUGUAAACGAUGUCGAUUUGGAGGUUGUGCCCUUGAGGCGUGGCUUCCGGAGCUAACGCGUUAAAUCGACCGCCUGGGGAGUACGGCCGCAAGGUUAAAACUCAAAUGAAUUGACGGGGGCCCGCACAAGCGGUGGAGCAUGUGGUUUAAUUCGAUGCAACGCGAAGAACCUUACCUACUCUUGACAUCCAGAGAACUUAGCAGAGAUGCUUUGGUGCCUUCGGGAACUCUGAGACAGGUGCUGCAUGGCUGUCGUCAGCUCGUGUUGUGAAAUGUUGGGUUAAGUCCCGCAACGACCGCAACCCGUCAUACUGGUUUUCCUGAA